rnacentral:rRNA from 1 species
GACUAUGACCAUACCACCAUGAAUGUACUUGACCUCUUCUGGUCUCAGAAGGUAAGUAAGAUUGUGCUAGGUUAGUACUUGGAUGGAGACCACCUGGGAAUACCACUGUUACAGGCU